rnacentral:rRNA from 1 species
UACCAGCACCCCGAGUGGUCGGGACGAUUAUUGGGCCUAAAGCGUCCGUAGCUGGCCUGUUAGAUGCCUGGGUAAAUCGGUGCGCUCAACGCACCGAACUCCGGGUAGACCGGCAGGCUCGAGACCGGGAGAGGCAUGGGCUACUCGCGGGGUAGGGGUAAAAUCCUGUAAUCCUGCGGGGAGGACCAGUGGCGAAGGCGCUACACUAGAACGGCUCUGACAGUGAGGGACGAAGCCCUGGGGCGCAAACCGG